UGGAAAUGGCUAUUUGUGAAACUUGGCCAAAAUAAUUUAUAUAAAAAGGUAUUUAAUAUUAUAUUAUCAUAAAAAUAAUAUCAAGUUAUUAUAAAUUGCAACAUAAAAUAUUUCUCCGUCGAAUUUCGAGGCGUAAUACACUAAUUUUAUUAAUUCAGUUUAAUCUAAUUACUGAAGUUUUAUUACACAUUAAUAAAUCUUAACUAGAAAUACAAAAAUAUUCUACGAAAAAGAAAAAGAAAAAAAAUACAGCACAACUAAAGAUACUAUUCCAUUCGUCCCAUAAUAAGUGUCCUAGUUUCAUUUUUAAGUUGUCCCAUAACAAGUGUCCUAGUUCUAAAAUAAGAAAGUGGGCUCCACCACCUUUUACCUUUCUAUCUUU
rnacentral:lncRNA from 1 species